rnacentral:tRNA from 1 species
CCUCUCAUGGCGUAGUGGUAACGCGCCCCAACUAGAGACCGGGGAGUCGUGGGUUCGAUUCUCACUGAGAAGA